rnacentral:rRNA from 1 species
GACGAACGCUGGCGGCGUGCUUAACACAUGCAAGUCGAACGGAAAGGCCCUGCUUGCAGGGUCCUCGAGUGGCGAACGGGCGAGUAACACGUGGGUGAUCUGCCCUGCACUUCGGGAUAAGCCUGGGCAACUGGGUCUAAUACCGGAUAGGAGACAUUUUUAGUGUGAUGGUUGGAAAGUUUUUUCGGUGUAGGAUGAGCUCGCGGCCUAUCAGCUUGUUGGUGGGGUAAUGGCCUACCAAGGCGGCGACGGGUAGCCGGCCUGAGGGGGUGGACGGCCGCAUUGGGACUGAGGGACGGCCCAGACUCCGACGGGAGGCAGCAGUGGGGAAGAUUGCACAAUGGGCGCAAGCCUGAUGCAGCGACGCCGCGUGGGGGAUGACGGCCUUCGGGUUGUAAACUCCUUUCGCUAGGGACGAAGCUUUUUGUGACGGUACCUAGAUAAGAAGCACCGGCUAACUACGUG